CAUUAAAAUAACACUUACACACUGAUUUUGACUAGUAUAACCCACCAGUUAAGUUCAAUUAAACAAAAAACAAAACUUUCAACAACGGAUCUCUUGGUUCUCGCAUCGAUGAAGAACGCAGCGAAAUGCGAUACGUAGUAUGACUUGCAGACGUGAAUCAUCGAAUCUUUGAACGCACAUUGCGCCUUGGAGCAUUCUCCAAGGCAUGCCUGUUUGAGCGUGAUUUCUUCUCACCGCACCCGGUGGUUUUGCAUCCGCGCUAAAUAUCAUUCCAGCAGCGAAGUCUACGCUUUCACUGCUCCAUGC
rnacentral:misc_RNA from 2 species